rnacentral:lncRNA from 1 species
UUACCCGGGGCCACGGCGCCGUCCAGCUCUCCCGGGGCCACGGCGCCGUCCAGCUCACCCGGGGCCACGGCGCCCUCCAGCUCACCCGGGGCCAUGGUGCCGUCCAGCUCACCCGGGGCCACGGCGCCGUCCAGCUCACCCAGGGCGACACUCCAUGGAGACACAGACACGCACCGUGGCAGAGAAAUGGUGUGGAGGUCCUGGUUUUUCUCAAAUGUGCUUUUCCUGCCCAGGGCCCCACACAGGACCCCACACUGCUCUGGCCGUGAUGUCUCCUGGGCUCUGUGAUCUGGCCAGCGCCUCUGUCUCCCCGUCCUUAAUGACCUGGCUGCUCCUCAAAGCUCCGGACAUGUCUUUUUGGAAUGCCCUUGAUUUCGAAUUGUCUGAUGUCUUCUACUGAUGACACUACUGGGGAGGAUUUGUUGAGGAGACACGUGUCCCCUGCAGGGCUCGACAGCAGGAGGUGUGGUGGCCUCUCUCAUCCCUGGUGACAGGAACUGUGACCCUGGAGUUCCACUUCCCUUGGAAGACCUCGUGACAGUGGCUGCUGCCUUGGUGCCCCAGCGGGGCCUCCAACUGCCCUGGUUCCUUCACCAUUUAUAACUGGAAUCCUCUGGUUGAGGAGGCGCUUUCUCUGCAUACACACAGUGCAGGUGAAGAUAUGUGUGCUCUCUGGUUGAGGAGGCGCUUUCUCUGCGUACACAUGGUGGAGGUGAAGGUAUCUGUGUGCUCUCUGGUUGAGGAGGCACUUUCUCUGCAUACACACAGUGCAGGUGAAGAUAUGUGUGCUCUCUGGUUGAGGAGGCGCUUUCUCUGCGUACACACGGUGGAGGUGAAGAUAUCUGUGUGCUCUCUGGUUGAGGAGGCACUUUCUCUGCGUACACACAGUGCAGGUGAAGAUAUGUGUGCUCUCUGGUUGAGGAGGCGCUUUCUCUGCGUACACACAGUGCAGGUGAAGAUAUCUGUGUGCUCUCUGGUUGAGGAGGCACUUUCUCUGCAUACACACAGUGCAGGUGAAGAUAUGUGUGCUCUCUGGUUGAGGAGGCACUUUCUCUGCGUACACACGGUGGAGGUGAAGGUAUCUGUGUGCUCUCUGGUUAUCAUCUAGUCAUGCUGCUGUCUAGGUUGCUG